rnacentral:rRNA from 1 species
CGUGAGUGAUGAAGGUCUUCGGAUUGUAAAACUCUGUUGUGAGGGAUAAAUGGUUAAGAUAGGAAAUGAUUUUAAUUUGAUAGUACCUUACUAGAAAGCAACGACUAACUUCGUGCCAGCAGUCGCGGUAAUACGAAGGUUGCAAGCGUUAUCCGGAAUUAUUGGGCGUAAAGAGUGAGCAGGCGGCUUGCUAAGUUUGAGGUUAAAUCGUUGGGCUCAACCCAAUCUCGCUUCAAAAACUGGCAGGCUAGAGUAUGUGAGAGGUAAGUAGAACUCCAUGUGUAGCGGUGAAAUGCGUAGAUAUAUGGAAGAAUACCAGUGGCGAAGGCGGCUUACCAGCACAAUACUGACGCUCAGUCACGAAAGUAUAGGGAGCAAAUAGGAUUAGAUACCCUAGUAGUCUAUACCGUAAACGAUGAUUACUAAAUGUUCGAGAGAUCGAGCGCUGAAGCUAACGCAUUAAGUAAUCCGCCUGGGAAGUACGAUCGCAAGAUUGAAACUUAAAGCAAUUGACGGGGUCCCGCACAAGCAGUGGAGCAUGUGGUUUAAUUCGACGCUACGCGAAAAACCUUACCAGGUCUUGACAUGUUAGUUAAUAGUGUUGAAAGACAUGAAAGUGUGCUAUCACAGGUGGUGCAUGGUUGUCGUCAGCUCGUGUCGUGAGAUGUUAGGUUAAGUCCUGCAACGAGCGCAACCCUUGUCCUUAGUUGCCAUCAUUCAGUUGGGAACUCUAGGGAGACUGCCGAUGUUAAAUCGGAGGAAGGUGGGGAUGAUGUCAAAUCAUCAUGCCCUUUAUGACCUGGGCGACACACGUGCUACAAUGGUCGGUACAAAGAGACGCGAACCCGCGAGGGUGGGCAAAUCUCAGAAAGCCGAUCUCAGUACGGAUUGAAGUCUGCAACUCGACUUCAUGAAGCUGGAAUUGCUAGUAAUCGCGAAUCAGCCAUGUCGCGGUGAAUACGUUCUCGGGGCUUGUACACACCGCCCGUCAAACCAUGAGAGCUGGUAAUACUUGAAGCCGUUAUCCUAACCGUAAGGAGGGAGACGUCUAAGGUAGGACUGGUGAUUGGGGUUAAGUCGUAACAAGGUAUCCCUACGGGAACGUGGGGAUG